rnacentral:rRNA from 1 species
GAUGGUUCGAUUAGUCUUUCGCCCCUAUACCCAGUUCAUACGAUCGAUUUGCACGUCAGAAUCGCUACGGACCUCCAUCAGGGUUUCCCCUGACUUCAUCCUGACCAGGCAUAGUUCACCAUCUUUCGGGUCCCAGCGUGUACGCUCUUGGUGCGCCGCAACUUGCAAUAAGUAUGCGACGCCCCGGGAAUGCGAGGUAACAUAAAUAACGUUACCCAUCUUCCCUUUAUAAAAUAUAAUUAUAAAAAUUAUAUAUAUAUAUUUACUUUCAUUAUGCCUUUAGGUUUAAUAUAAAUACCCAAUGACUUGCGCACAUGCUAGAUG